rnacentral:rRNA from 1 species
UAGGGAAUAUUGGUCAAUGGACGAGAGUCUGAACCAGCCAUGCCGCGUGCAGGAAGACUGCCCUCUGGGUUGUAAACUGCUUUUAUAUGGGAAGAAAAGACUCUUGCGAGAGGCAUUGACGGUACCAUAGGAAUAAGCCACGGCUAACUACGUGCCAGCAGCCGCGGUAAUACGUAGGUGGCGAGCGUUAUCCGGAUUUAUUGGGUUUAAAGGGUGCGUAGGCGGCUUUUUAAGUUGGUGGUUAAAGGUAGCAGCUCAACUGUUUUACAUGCCAUCAAAACUGAAGAGCUUGAGUUAUCAGGAGGCAGGCGGAAUUUCUGGUGUAGCGGUGAAAUGCAUAGAUACCAGAAGGAACACCUAUUGCGAAGGCAGCUUGCUGUAGAUACACUGACGCUGAUGCACGAAAGCGUGGGGAGCGAACAGGAUUAGAUACCCUGGUAGUCCACGCCGUAAACGAUGAUUACUAGUUGUUGGAGAUAUACAUUCAGUGACCAAGGGAAACCGAUAAGUAAUCCACCUGGGGAGUACGCCGGCAACGGUG